GAUGAGAACGCAGCGAAAUGCGAUAAGUAAUGUGAAUUGCAGAAUUCAGUGAAUCAUCGAAUCUUUGAACGCACCUUGCGCCCUUUGGCUAUUCUGAAGGGCAUGCCUGUUUGAGUAUCGUGAACACCUCAACUCUCAUGGUCUGCCAUGAUGAGCUUGGACUUUGGGGGUCUUGCUGGCCUACUGUCAGCUCCUCUCAAAUGAAUCAGCUUACCAGUGUUUGGUGGCACCACAGGUGUGAUAACUAUCUACGCUUGUGGUUUUCUGCCAGGUAACCUCCAGUGAUGGAGGUUCGCUGGAGCUCACAAAUGUCUCUCCACAGCGAGGACAGCUUUUUGAACGUUUGAUCUCAAAUCAGGUAGGACUACCCGCUGAACUUAAGCAUAUCAAUAAGCGGAGGA
rnacentral:misc_RNA from 1 species